AAUCAACGCUGGCGGCAGGCCUAAUACAUGCAAGUCGAACGAGAUUGAGGAGCUUGCUCUUCAUGAAAGUGGCGCACGGGUGCGUAACGCGUAUGCAACCUACCUUAAUCAGGGGGAUAGCCUCUCGAAAGAGAGAUUAACACCGCAUAAAAUCACAGUCUGGCAUCAGAUAAUGAUCAAAUAUUUAUAGGAUUAAGAUGGGCAUGCGUGACAUUAGUUAGUUGGUGAGGUAACGGCUCACCAAGACCACGAUGUCUAGGGGAUCUGAGAGGAUUAACCCCCACACUGAUACUGAGACACGGACCAGGCUCCUACGGAGGGCAGCAUGAAGGAAUAUUGGUCAAUGGAGGCAACUAUACACAGCCCUGCCGCGGGCAGGAAGACGGCCCUUCGGGUUGUAAACUGCUUUUAUACGGGAAUAAACCUCAUUACGUGUAAUGAGCUGAAUGUACUGUAAGAAUAAGUAUCGGCUAACUCCGAGCCAGCCGCCGCCGUAA
rnacentral:rRNA from 1 species